rnacentral:ncRNA from 1 species
UGGCGGUAAUGUGAGCAAGAUAUGACGGCCAAAUAGCUUGGUUUCUCGGUGAAUUAACGUGGGGUACCCGUAUAGAGGUCCGCGCGUGCGCGCAUAAUUAAAGGUGAACGUGCAUGAAUGCGCAUGAAUGGAUUAACGAGAUUCCUGAUGUCCCUGUCUACUAUCUAGCGAAACCACAGGCAAGGAUAGGACUUGGCAGAAUUAGAUUGAUUUUGAUCUUCAGUAUGAAUACAGACCGCGAUAGCGUGGCCUAUCGAUCCUUUUUUGAACUCGCGAGUUUCAAGGAAGUGGUGCCAGAAAAUUUACCACAGGGAUAACUGGCUUGUGGCACCAAAGCGUUCAUAGCGACGUUGCCUUUUGAUCCUUGGACGGAGUAGGAUAGGAUAUGCAUGUUUAUCCCCGUGAAUGGGAAAACCCCAGGGGUUAUCACACGGGCAAUCGUCAGAUCACCUCGCGCCCAUCGUCGGGUUACCGGAGCUAUUGCAGUGUGUUGUAUGUGAU